UCAGUUCACACUGCUAGGUCAGAUGGUCUUUGGGACACUACAAAAAUUGACCAAGCACAUCCAGUUGGGGUAACAGCAGUCUCAUGGGCACCAUCAAUGGCUCCUGGUGCCUUAGUUGGUUCAGGUGUUCUUGAACCUGUUCAGAAGCUGGCAUCCGGUGGCUGUGAUAACACCGUGAAGGUUUGGAAGUUAUAUAAUGGUGUUUGGAAGAUGGACUGCUUCCCUGCACUACAGAUGCACACUAACUGGGUGCGGGAUGUAGCCUGGGCACCAAACUUGGGACUUCCUAAAUCGACAAUUGCUAGUGCUUCAGAGGAUGGUACAGUUGUCAUAUGGACUGUUGCGAAGGAGGGAGAUCAGUGGGAGGGAAAGGUUCUUAAAGACUUCAAGACUCCUGUUUGGAGGGUUUCAUGGUCUCUAACCGGAAACUUGUUGGCAGUGGCGGCUGGGGACAACGAUGUUACAUUGUGGAAAGAAGCAGUUGAUGGGGAGUGGCAACAGGUCACUUCUGUCAACCAAUAGAGAAUCGAAGUAAAAAAAUUUACUAGCUCAAGUGAACUGAGGACUAGCCUUUUGGUUUAAGUUUUACUCUCUUUAUUUGGUUUUACUUGAUCCUUUUGUUUGUAUUUGGUAUAUCUGAUGAUCAAUCUGCUAAAGCGGGAGUUGCAAAAAGUUAGUUAUAUACCUUUUUUUUUUAGUUUUGGCCGGUGCUGGUAUGUCCCAUGUUAUAUUGCCUUCUGAAUACACUCCUAGAGUAAUUUUUAUUCCUCUGCCCCUUGUUGUUUGAAUUAGUACGGACUUAUAAUUUGUACUAAUUCAGAAUCUAGGUUCCUCUGUUAUCAAUUACUUCAUGUAUGACCAGUCCUUGUAUUUCUUUUUUCUCAAUGAAUUUCACUUUCACUGCA
rnacentral:lncRNA from 1 species